AUUGAACGCUGGCGGCAGGCCUAACACAUGCAAGUCGAACGAGUGGCGGACGGGUGAGUAAUGUCUGGGAACCCGCCGGAAGGCGGGGGAUAACUACGGGAAACGGUAUCUAAUCAGGCAUACAAUCAGCUGUCCCCAGGUGGGAUUAGCUGGUAGGGGGGUUAACGGCUCACCUAGGCAACGAUCCCUAGCUGGUCGGAGAGGAUGACCAGCCACACUGGGACUGAGACACGGUCCAGACUCCUACGGGAGGCAGCAGUGGGGAAUCUUGCACAAUGGGCGCAAGCCUGAUGGAGCCAUGCCGCGUGUAUGAAGAAGGCCUUCGGGUUGUAAAGUACUUUUGGCGGAGAAGCGUUACCCGCAGAAGAAGCACCGGCUAACUCCGUGCCAGCAGCCGCGGUAAUUC
rnacentral:rRNA from 1 species